rnacentral:rRNA from 1 species
UACAGAGGGUGCGAGCGGUAAUCGGAAUUACUGGGCGUAAAGCGCACGUAGUUGGCGACGUAAGUCGUGUGUGAAAGCCCCGGGCUCAACCUGGUAAUUGCAUUCGAGACUGCAUUGCUGGAGUACGGAAGAGGAGGGCGGAAUUCCCGUUGUAGCGGUGAAAUGCGUUGAUAUCUGGAGGAACAUCAGUGGCAAGGGCGGCCCUCUGCUCCAGUACUGACAAUCAAAGGCGAAAGCGUGGUGAUCAAACAGU